UACAAUGGCGUAACAAAGGGAGGCAAAGCGGCAACGCGGAGCAAACCCCAAAAAUAAACGUCCCAGUUCGGACUGCGGUCUGCAACCCGACCGCACGAAGCUGGAAUCGCUAGUAAUCGCGAAUCAGAAUGUCGCGGUGAAUACGUUCCCGGGUCUUGUACACACCGCCCGUCACACCAUGGGAGUCAGCAACGCCCGAAGUCAGUGACCCAACCGAAAGGAGGGAGCUGCCGAAGGCGGGGCAGGUAACUGGGGUGAAGUCGUAACAAGGUAGC
rnacentral:rRNA from 1 species